rnacentral:lncRNA from 1 species
AAGAAUAAUAUCUGACAUUUGUGAAUAUUUGUUCGUAUAAAUUAUGAUUUUUAUUAACUUUAGUGAUAUGUUUGUUUAACUUUGCGUUGAAAAGUCAUGUAAUGUCAUCAUCAUGGACACGCUUUACUUUAUUUGAGUGUAAGAAUUUUCACUUUUAGAUUUGUUGGUUGGUUUGGUUGUUCCAUUUAACAAUAGUAGCCAAGGAUGAACUUUUAAUGUUUAUGUUAUUAAUAGUAGGUUUAUUGUUGAGUGAGUCAUAAUGAUGGUUGAUGCUUUGGUAGUAUUAAUAGUAUCUCUAUGGUAAUAAUGUUAAGUGUCCUAGUGACAAUGAGGUUAAUUUUGUGAAGUUCUAAGAUACUUAUAGUCAAGGAUUCAGGUAGUAUGCAUGAAGUUCGAGGUUCGAUCUUUAUCGGCAGUAACCACAGUACUGGCGGUGAUUCUAAUCUCUGCAAAUCUAAACAUACAUUUAUUUAAUUAUUUGAUUGUUUUGAGUAUAUAUUCAGUCAUUAGAUAUUGAAUCAUAC